GGAGGUUACAGCUCAGUGCUAAGAGUGCGUGCUUAGCAUGCACGAGGUCCUGAGUUCAAUUCCCAGUGCCUCCA
rnacentral:tRNA from 1 species